AUUGAACGCUGGCGGCAUGCUUUACACAUGCAAGUCGAACGGCAGCACGGGCUUCGGCCUGGUGGCGAGUGGCGAACGGGUGAGUAAUGCAUCGGAACGUACCGUGUAAUGGGGGAUAACGUAGCGAAAGUUACGCUAAUACCGCAUACGCCCUGAGGGGGAAAGCGGGGGAUCGUAAGACCUCGCGUUAUACGAGCGGCCGAUGUCGGAUUAGCUAGUUGGUGGGGUAAAGGCCUACCAAGGCGACGAUCCGUAGCGGGUCUGAGAGGAUGAUCCGCCACACUGGGACUGAGACACGGCCCAGACUCCUACGGGAGGCAGCAGUGGGGAAUUUUGGACAAUGGGCGCAAGCCUGAUCCAGCCAUGCCGCGUGAGUGAAGAAGGCCUUCGGGUUGUAAAGCUCUUUCAGACGGAAAGAAAUCGCGCGCUCUAACAUAGCGCGUGGAUGACGGUACCGUAAGAAGAAGCACCGGCUAACUACGUG
rnacentral:rRNA from 2 species